rnacentral:rRNA from 1 species
GUACCGGUCCGAUGAACCUGACGGCGCUUGAAGUACGUCGCAAGGCUGAAACUAAAGAUGCCGAGGAGCACCACACGGUGGAGCUGCGUUUAAUUGACUCACGCGGCAGCUCACUGAUAGACAGCGAAUGAUAGCCGGGCUGAAGACCUUGCUUGACCAGCUGAGAGAGGUGCAUGGCCGUCGUCAGUUCAUACUGUGACAGCAUCCCUGUUUAGUCAGGCAAACGAGCGAGACCCACGCCAACAGGUAGCUAGGGACCCUCCUCCCGGAAUGAUGAGGAACGAAGGAUAGGGACCGCCUCUGCUAAAGAGGAGGAAGGAAUGGAAGGGGGAUAGAGUCAGCAUGCCCCGAAUUAUCCGGGCUACACGCGGGCUACAAUGGUCAGGACAAUGGGAAACGACACAAAAAAAGUGUAGUCAAUCUCCUAAACCUGUCCCAAGUUCGGAUUGUGGGCUGCAACUCGCCCACAUGAAGCUGGAAUCCGUAGUAAUCGCGUUUCAAAAUAGCGCGGGAGUAAACCCUGCUCCUGCACACACCGUAAUCGUCCCGGCCCGUCG